UACGGAGGGUGCAAGCGUUGUUCGGAAUUACUGGGCGUAAAGCGCGUGUAGGCGGCCUUUUAAGUCUGAUGUGAAAGCCCGGGGCUCACCCCCGGAAGUGCAUCGGAUACUGGGAGGCUCGAGUACCGGAGAGGAGGGUGGAAUUCCUGGUGUAGCGGUGAAAUGCGUAGAUAUCAGGAGAAACACCGGUGGCGAAGGCGGCCCUCUGGACGGAUACUGACGCUGAGACGCGAAAGCGUGGGGAGCAAACAGG
rnacentral:rRNA from 1 species